rnacentral:rRNA from 1 species
GACGAACGCUGGCGGCGUGCUUAACACAUGCAAGUCGAGCGGUAAAGGGCCCUUUCGGGGUACGACGAGCGGCGAACGGGUGAGUAACACGUGGGUGACCUGCCCUCCAGCUCUGGGAGUAAGCCUCGGGAAACCGGGUCGUAAUAACUGGAUAUGACUCCAUGACGCAUGUUGUGGGGUGGAAAGCCUUGUUGCGGCUGAGGAUGGGCCCGCGGCCUAUCAGCUUGUUGGUGGGGU